rfam:Enterococcus villorum ATCC 700913 genomic scaffold acvIF-supercont1.8, whole genome shotgun sequence.
UAACCCAUGAUUUAUAAUGUAAUCUGUAGGAAAGUGAAAAGAUGGUGGCUAAUCUCUUGAAAAAGGGGUGAUGCCUAUGGUUCAUAGCUUUAUCCCUAGAAGGGAGUAAGCAUGUCUGUCUACCAAGCAUUGUCGCUAAUGAUUGCAUUUGCAACGUUAGUUUUGCUUAUUACAGACCAAAA